GACGAACCGUGCGACCGUUGUUCGGAUUCACUGGGCUUAAAGGGCGCGUAGGCGGGCGACCAAGUCUGGGGUGAAAUCUUUCGGCCCAACCGGAAAAGUGCCCCUGAUACUGGCCGCCUCGAGGGGGGUAGGGGCAUGCGGAACUUCCGGUGGAGCGGUGAAAUGCGUAGAUAUCGGAAGGAACGCCGGUGGCGAAAGCGGCGUGCUGGACCCCUUCUGACGCUGAGGCGCGAAAGCCAGGGGAGCAAACGGG
rnacentral:rRNA from 1 species